rnacentral:rRNA from 1 species
UUGAGCUUCUAACCUAGGCCCGUUAUCCGGGUCAGGGACCGUGUGUGGUGGGUAGUUUGACUGGGGCGGUCUCCUCCCAAAGCGUAACGGAGGAGCACAAAGGUGGGCUAAGCAUGGUCGGACAUCAUGCGGUUAGUGUAAUGGCACAAGCCCGCUUAACUGCGAGACAGACACGUCGAGCAGGUACGAAAGUAGGUCAUAGUGAUCCA